rnacentral:misc_RNA from 1 species
AACGCACAUUGCGCCCGCUAGUAUUCUGGCGGGCAUGCCUGUCUUAGCGUCAUUUCAACCCUCGCCCCCGGCUUUUUGCUGGGAGCGGUGUUGGGGAUCGGCCGCCCGUCACUGGGAGGCCGGCCCCGAAAUAGAGUGGCGACCACGCCGUGUGCUCCUCUGCGUAGUAGUAAAUCACCUCGCAGGCGUACAGCGGUGCGGCCUGCCCGUAAAACCCCCAACUCUUUCUGGUUGACCUCAGAUCAGGUAGGAAUACCCGCUGAACUUAA